rnacentral:rRNA from 1 species
GACGAACCGUGCGAACGUUAUUCGGAAUCACUGGGCUUAAAGCGCGUGUAGGCGGGCCGGCACGUCGAGUGCUGAAAUGCCCCGGCUUAACCGGGCGCUGGCAUCGAUACGACCGGCCUGGAGGGAGUAGGGUCGGAACUUCCGGUGGAGCGGUGAAAUGCGUUGAGAUCGGAAGGAACACCAGUGGCGAAGCGGCUUCCUGGUCCAGCACCGACGUUCAGGCACGAAGCGUGGAGCAACAGGAUAGAACCGUGUAGUCC